GUUGGAGAUGCAUCCCUUGUGGAGUUUUCCUUGUGAGCCUAGAUCUUUAGAGACAGAUACCUCUGCACAUGCUGCCAAUCUAUCUCUAUGGGCUGCUCAAAAGAAGUGUCAAAAGCAGUGUGGCCAGCAGGUCCAGGGAGGUGAUCCUGCCCCUCAGUUCUGUAUGGGUGAGACCCUGUAUGGAGCACAGCACCCAGAUGUGGAGUUCUCAGUACAGAAAAGACAUGGACCUUUGGAACACUCCCGAGGAGGGCCACAAAAAUGACCCAAGUAUGGGAUAAGACAGAGGACUCCUGGACCCCAUGACUGAUUUGUCUCAGAGUGGUAAACAAGAAGAGUGUCCAUGAUGAGCACCAAGUAAAGGUAUGGAGACAAAACGUUAUUUUCAUUGUGUGAUGGGAACAAAUCUCAUGAGCUGCCCAAUAGGGACUCAUGUCUUGCACCACAGCAAAUACAGGAAGAAAACACUCUCUUUUGUUUAAAAAUUUCAGUAUCUCCCCUUAAUCGAAGAAUCCACAGCUUCUGUGUUCCUAUUUCUUUUUGUUAUCUAUCUCUUCCUUUUUGGGAAGAUUGACUUAUUUUGUAACAUACACUCCUUAUAAUUCAAAUAAUAGUAGCUAAGCUUACUGACAGAUGGUACAUUCAUUAUUUAAAGAUCCUUAGCCCCAGAGCCACCAGAAAAACCAAAGCUGAAGAACUAAUAUUUUUACUUGCACCAGCAAAGUGAAGGGCUAAUGCAUUCCCUACUGAGAAAGAAAUUGCUUGUUGCUUUGGGCUUAUUUUAAUUUCUGUCUUUUCCAUGUGUGUUUUUACUUCCAUAUCUCUGGUGUCUUACCUACCACGAGGAGUAUGUCAAAAACUUGCCUUAACUCCUAACUGAUUAACAGAAGCAGAAUUUCCACUAGGCUUUUUUAGCUGGUGCAGCAUGGGUGCUGUGCCUUAGCCUGUUUCCAAAUGGACAGGGAAUCCCAAGGGAAAUGAGGAGGUUUUGAUCAGCAGGGAGGGGUUCAGCAUCAGUUCAGAGAGUUUUCCUGGAGUGAAGAAUAAGCAGGCUGAGGUGAAAAUGUGCCUUCAGCUCACCAAUGGCAGCAGACAUCCAGUCCUGCCCUACCAAACUUGUUUGGUGGUCUAUAGCUGCAGGGCCAUUACAGUAGUGGGUUUGUUCUUGCACACCUCCCUGCUUGCUGCUUGCUUCGAAGGAGAAACUACUCACAUUACAGCUAUCAGCCUAGUGCUACACAGACAGUCAAGCCUGUCCAUACAUCCAUAGUGCUCAGCCAGCGGUAAUCAAAGCUGCACAUGGUUCUUUGCUACUUCACUCCUCCAUCACAGACCAAGCUGGGCUUG